AGGAUGAACGCUGGCGGUCUGCUUAACACAUGCAAGUCGAACGGAGUAGCAAUACUUAGUGGCGGACGGGUGAGUAACGCGUGAGAAUCUACCUUCAGGACGGAGACAACAGUUGGAAACGACUGCUAACCCCCGAUGUACCGAAAGGGCAAAUAUUUAUAGCCUGAAGAAGAGCUCGCGUCCGAUUAGCUAGUUGGAGAGGUAAAAGCUCACCAAGGCGACGAUCGGUAGCUGGUCUGAGAGGACGAUCAGCCACACUGGGACUGAGACACGGCCCAGACUCCUACGGGAGGCAGCAGUGGGGAAUCUUGGACAAUGGGCGAAAGCCUGAUCCGGCAAUAUGGCGUGAGUGAAGAAGGGCAACGCAGCUUGUAAAGCUCUUUCAUCGAGUGUGCGAUUGUGACAAGACUCGAAUAAGAACGCCCGGCUAACUCCGUGCCAGCACGCCGC
rnacentral:rRNA from 1 species